UCACAGCGCUCACACAGGGAGCUUGCUCCCAUAGAUGCUGUGUGGAAAGUCCCCGUGCCAAAGGGCAGAGAGUGCCAGUGGG
rnacentral:RNase_MRP_RNA from 1 species